AUUGAACGCUGGCGGCAGGCCUAAUACAUGCAAGUCGAGCGAGCGGCGGACGGGUGAGUAAUGUAUGGGGACUGCCCGAAAGAGGGGGAUAACUACUGGAAACGGUAGCCAAUACCGCAUUCUAUUGGAUAACCCAUAUGGGAUUGGCUAGUAGGUGAGGUAAUUGCUCACCUAGGCGACGAUCCCUAGCUGGUCUGCGAGGAUGAUCAGCAACACUGGGACUGAGACACGGCCCAGACUCCUACGGAGGCAGCAGUGGGGAAGAUUGCACAAUGGGCGCAAGCCUGAUGCAGCCAUGACGCGUGUAUGAAGAAGGCCCUAGGGUUGUAAAGUACUUUCAGUCGGGAGGCGUUACCGACAGAAGAAGCACCGGCUAACUCCGUGCCAGCCGCCGCGGUAAUUC
rnacentral:rRNA from 1 species